rnacentral:rRNA from 1 species
CACGUAGUUAGCCGGUGCUUUUUCUGCAGGUACCGUCACUUUCGCUUCUUCCCUACUAAAAGAGGUUUACAACCCGAAGGCCGUCAUCCCUCACGCGGCGUUGCUGCAUCAGGCUUUCGCCCAUUGUGCAAUAUUCCCCACUGCUGCCUCCCGUAGGAGUCUGGGCCAUGUCUCAGUCCCAGUGUGGCCGGUCACCCUCUCAGGCCGGCUACCCGUCGUCGCCUUGGUGAGCCAUUACCUCACCAACUAGCUGAUAGGCCGCGAGUCCAUCCUUGACCAAAAUUCUUUCCAACUCCUAGCCAUGCGGCUGAAGCUCGUAUCCGGUAUUAGACGCCAUUUCUAGCGCUUAUCCCAGAGUCAAGGGUCAGGUUACUCACGUGUUACUCACCCGUUCGCCACUAAUCCCUGGAGCAAGCUCCAGUUCAUCGUUCGACUUGCAUGUGUUAAGCACGCCGCCAGCGUUCGUCCUCGUAGCCGACGGACGUCAAACGUAC